GGAGCAGUCUGACCAGCCAUGCCGCGUGGAGGAUGAAGGUCCUCUGGAUUGUAAACUUCUUUUAUUUGGGAAGAAACCCAUCUUUUCUUGGAUGGCUGACGGUACCAGAUGAAUAAGCACCGGCUAACUCCGUGCCAGCAGCCGCGGUAAUACGGAGGGUGCAAGCGUUAUCCGGAUUCACUGGGUUUAAAGGGUGCGUAGGUGGGCAAGUAAGUCAGUGGUGAAAUCUCCGGGCUUAACCCGGAAACUGCCAUUGAUACUAUUUGUCUUGAAUACUGUGGAGGUCAGCGGAAUAUGUCAUGUAGCGGUGAAAUGCUUAGAUAUGACAUAGAACACCAAUUGCGAAGGCAGCUGGCUACACAAAUAUUGACACUGAGGCACGAAAGCGUGGGGAUCAAACAGGAUUAGAACCCCCUGGUAG
rnacentral:rRNA from 1 species